CCUACGGGUGGCAGCAGUGGGGGAUAUUGCACAAUGGGGGGAACCCUGAUGCAGCGACGCCGCGUGGGUGAAGGAGCGUUUCGGCGCGUAAAGCCCUAUCGGCAGGGAAGAAGCAAGACGGUACCUGACUAAGAAGCCCCGGCUAACUACGUGCCAGCAGCCGCGGUAAUACGUAGGGGGCGAGCGUUAUCCGGAUUCACUGGGUGUAAAGGGAGCGUAGACGGCCAUGCAAGCCAGGGGUGAAAGCCCGGGGCCCAACCCCGGGACUGCCCUUGGAACUGUGCGGCGAGAGUGCGGGAGGGGCAGGCGGAAUUCCUGGUGUAGCGGUGAAAUGCGUAGAUAUCAGGAGGAACACCGGCGGCGAAGGCGGCCUGCUGGACUGCGACUGACGUUGAGGCUCGAAAGCGUGGGGAGCGAACAGGAUUAGAUACCCUGGUAGUC
rnacentral:rRNA from 1 species